CGAACGGGUGAGUAAUGCCUAGGAAUCUGCCUGAUAGUGGGGGAUAACGUUCGGAAACGAACGCUAAUACCGCAUACGUCCUACGGGAGAAAGGGGGCUUUAUUGCUCUCGCUAACAGAUGAGCCUAGGUCAGAUUAGCUAGUUGGUAGGGUAAAGGCCUACCAAGGCGACGAUCUGUAGCGGGUCUGAGAGGAUGAUCCGCCACACUGGAACUGAGACACGGUCCAG
rnacentral:rRNA from 1 species